GCGCACGCUGGCGGCAGGCUUAACACAUGCAAGUCGAACGGGCAUCUUCGGAUGUCAGCGGCAGACGGGUGAGUAACACGUGGGAACGUACCCUUCGGUUCGGAACAACUCUGGGAAACUGGAGCUAAUACCGGAUACGCCCUUAUGGGGAAAGGUUUACUGCCGAAGGAUCGGCCCGCGUCUGAUUAGCUAGUUGGUGGGGUAACGGCCUACCAAGGCGACGAUCAGUAGCUGGUCUGAGAGGAUGAUCAGCCACACUGGGACUGAGACACGGCCCAGACUCCUACGGGAGGCAGCAGUGGGGAAUAUUGGACAAUGGGCGCAAGCCUGAUCCAGCCAUGCCGCGUGAGUGAUGAAGGCCUUAGGGUUGUAAAGCUCUUUUGUCCGGGACGAUAAUGACGGUACCGGAAGAAUAAGCCCCGGCUAACUUCGUG
rnacentral:rRNA from 1 species